AUUGAACGCUGGCGGCAUGCCUUACACAUGCAAGUCGAACGGUAACAGGUUAAGCUGACGAGUGGCGAACGGGUGAGUAAUGUAUCGGAACGUGCCCAGUCGUGGGGGAUAACUGCUCGAAAGAGCAGCUAAUACCGCAUACGACCUGAGGGUGAAAGCGGGGGACCGUAAGGCCUCGCGCGAUUGGAGCGGCCGAUAUCAGAUUAGCUAGUUGGUGAGGUAAAGGCUCACCAAGGCGACGAUCUGUAGCUGGUCUGAGAGGACGACCAGCCACAGUGGGACUGAGACACGGCCCAGACUCCUGCGGGAGGCAGCAGUGGGGAAUUUGGACAAUGGACGCAAGUCUGAUCCAGCCAUGCCGCGUGCGGGAAGAAGGCCUUCGGGUUGUAAACCGCUUUUGUCAGGGAAGAAACGGGUUUUUCUAAUACAGAGACCUAAUGACGGUACCUGAAGAAUAAGCACCGGCUAACUACGUGCCAGCAGCCGCCGUAACAC
rnacentral:rRNA from 1 species